UCAGGUGACCCUUCUGAAGAAGACCGCAGAUGACAGUGGAAACAUGUCAGAAUCCAAGGACGCUUAUAUGUGACUCCCUUUUGCGGAAAGAUCCGGUCAACGACUCGCAUCCCUUUCUUUGACUUCACUUCAACCACAAACCCUGCAGGAAAAAAGG